rnacentral:rRNA from 1 species
AUCUGGGCGGCGAAAUUCAGAAUGUCUGGGCGGGCGUUCGCGCACGACCGGCCGUUUGAUAUUUUCGUCGCCGUGUCAGACGUCGCGACCUGUUCGUCGUUGGUCCUUGCUCGGAGGAGUCGCGAUCGAGCUCGUUGUGGGCGCGUUUCGGCGCGUCUCACGGCGAAGACGCGAAUCUCUGGCUGACGACGGACAGUAAGCAAUGGUGGCCGAUGACGCGUCUCGCACGCGGCGUCGGUGCCGGUCAGCGACGAUUUCUUCGGGCCUCUUUCCGACCCGUCUUGAAACACGGACCAAGGAGUCUAACAUGUGCGCGAGUCGCGGGGCGUCGAGCGUACUUCGGUGCGCUCGUCACGUCACGAAACCCGUACAUUGAAGGCGUAAUGAAAGUGAACAGGGAAGAUGGUGUUCCGAGUAUACGAACCGUGACUAAUGUCGCGGCCGGACGCCCGCAUUCCCGGGGCGUCUCAAUGGUUCGUCGCGGACGCGGACGGUCGUCUUUCGGGACGGUCGUCGAUCUGCGACGGUCCGA